rnacentral:rRNA from 1 species
UAGGGAAUCUUCCGCAAUGGGCGAAAGCCUGACGGAGCAACGCCGCGUGAGUGAUGAAGGUCUUCGGAUCGUAAAACUCUGUUAUUAGGGAAGAACAAAUGUGUAAGUAACUAUGCACGUCUUGACGGUACCUAAUCAGAAAGCCACGGCUAACUACGUGCCAGCAGCCGCGGUAAUACGUAGGUGGCAAGCGUUAUCCGGAAUUAUUGGGCGUAAAGCGCGCGUAGGCGGUUUUUUAAGUCUGAUGUGAAAGCCCACGGCUCAACCGUGGAGGGUCAUUGGAAACUGGAAAACUUGAGUGCAGAAGAGGAAAGUGGAAGUCCAUGUGUAGCGGUGAAAUGCGCAGAGAUAUGGAGGAACACCAGUGGCGAAGGCGACUUUCUGGUCUGUAACUGACGCUGAUGUGCGAAAGCGUGGGGAUCAAACAGG